UGAACCCUGAUAAAGCUAGUGG
rnacentral:miRNA from 1 species